CAAAUAAAACAGUUUCGACGAGGUCUUAAAGAAACCUCAAUGUGGACAGUGCUGACCCAACGAGUGACACAGUGGCCUUGCUUCUACCAAAAGAGGGAGGUGGGAAUAUCAGCCCUGAGGUACUUCUUCAGCGAAUCACUUGGCCCUGUGAGGAUGACGAUGAUGAUGACGAUUAUUCAGUUGACACCAGAUGCCGCAUGACAGGCUAUCUUCGACAGUUCAUUGUGAAUGCAACACCAACUGAAUUGACUAAUCUGGUCAAAUUCUGGACCGGGUGGGAGAUUCUACCAACGAGCCCCUCUGUAGAGGUAGUCAUGGCCCCACAGCCUCCACCUGCUUCGAGACCUUACGCAUCCCAGGGCAUUACAAAGAUUAUAAAUCUUUUGAAAGUGACAUUCAGGCCUGUAUUUGCUCUUGCCAAACAGGAUUUGGCCUUGUGUGAGAGACAAGAUUUGAUCUUGUACUAAAUGUUGAUGUAACUUUGUUUGUUGGCUGUUAAAAAUGUUGACUGUUAUGCAACAAAUGUAAUUGAUGUUUAAAGAGUUAGCUG